AUUGAACGCUGGCGGCAGGCCUAACACAUGCAAGUCGAGCGGAUGAAGGGAGCUUGCUCCUGGAUUCAGCGGCGGACGGGUGAGUAAUGCCUAGGAAUCUGCCUGGUAGUGGGGGAUAACGUCCGGAAACGGGCGCUAAUACCGCAUACGUCCUGUGGGAGAAAGUGGGGGAUCUUCGGACCUCACGCUAUCAGAUGAGCCUAGGUUGGAUUAGCUAGUUGGUGGGGUAAAGGCCUACCAAGGCGACGAUCCGUAACUGGUCUGAGAGGAUGAUCAGUCACACUGGAACUGAGACACGGUCCAGACUCCUACGGGAGGCAGCAGUGGGGAAUAUUGGACGAUGGGCGAAAGCCUGAUCCAGCCAUGCCGCGUGUGUGAAGAAGGUCUUCGGAUUGUAAAGCACUUUAAGUUGGGGGGAAGGGCAGUAAGUUAAUACCUUGCUGUUUUGACGUUACCAACAGAAUAAGCACCGGCUAACUUCGUG
rnacentral:rRNA from 1 species